GGAAAGGAGCCCCCCUCACGCCCGCUCCCUCCCUCCCUUCCACCCACCUGCCUCGGCAACUCCGAGGGUGCGCGCGCACCUUCGCAUGGUGGAGCGGAGCACGGCGAAAGUGCGGGAGGGACGACCUGACAAUCUGGCUAGGAGGAACGUGCCUCACUGUGCCUUCCUCUGGGGCAGACCCUUCUCCGAACCCGUUUUCGGGUCAAGUACGGUGAUGAAGAACGUGCACUUCAGCGGUGACGUCUGUGGUCCCCUCGGCUUUGAUUUACCCAGGAUUAACUCAAUCGUUUUGAGUUUAGAGUUGAACAUUAAAAGUAGCUCUGCUGAAUCAAGCUAAAGCAUAACUCAGUCCAGUAUUCCGGUUCUCACAGAGGCUAGUCAGAUCCAUCUGGGGUGCCUGCAAAGAAGUGGAGACAUUUCUUGCCACUUACCCACCCCCACCACUGUUUCCCAGCAACUGGUAUUUGGAGCCCUGCUGCUGCCCUCAGUCUGGAGAUAAAAUGGAGUCUUUGAGACAGACAGCCCUUGAUAGGCUACUCUCCAGGAAUUUAUCCGAGACAAAGCCAAGACAAUGACCUUAAGACCAGUGGUGAAAUCCUCCGAGGUCUGCUACUGGUUCGCUACGCGCACAUGCACACCACAGGCGCUAUCGCGCAGUGCUGAAAAAGGAGGCUUAAGAAGCCGUGGAUAAAAAGAAACGGCCGCAGAAUAGGAACGGCUGCAGGAAAAAUGCCAUUCGGAGGUGUCGCCCCGUCAGCUUCUUGGCCGCCACCGUCACCAUUUUCAGCCUGGCCGGCCAGGCCUGUCACCACUCGCCGCUGAUUUACCACUCCCCCGGCCUCAUUUCGGUCCUAAAACACAUUUCCCGGGCAGAGGGGGAGUUCUACUAGCCGGGCCAGGGAUUGAAAGGAUCUAAAAAUCGAUUCCCUGGCUCGGACCAGCCGAGAAGGCCACCAACUGUCACUCCAUGUUCAGCUCCGCAGCGCCAUCUUGAGCAUGCGCUUUAGAAUCUUUCAUGGGGAAUGCUGACAUGACCAUGGGGAAUGCUGCAAUCUUUGUAAAAACAGUCACAAGUCACUUUUUCAGUGCCAUUGUAGUUUUGAAAUGGUCACUAAACAAACUGUUGUAAGUUGAGAGUUACCUGUAUAGUAGAUAAUUGUAGAUGAACUUUUUUGCAAAAUGAAAAAUGUCCCAUCUAAAGGCAUGAAGUGGCACUGCAAGAAACCAAGUCCUUCUCAAGUCAAAUAAUACCACCAGUAGUAGAGCAUUAAUUCCUCUCAUUGAUUCUCAAGCUGAACUAGUUUAUUGACACUUAUAUAUAAAGAAACAUUCAGAUGAAUUGGUUUGGGUUUCAGCUGGAGGCAUCCAUUAUAGUUUCUGUGGAAUAGAAAUAUUACACCUGAAUACUAAAAAACCCAGGGUGUUUUCAGUGCAGGAACUGUCAUGGGGUGAAACAGUGUAUGUAGUACAUAGUCAACAUUCUUAAUAGAAUACAGUAGUUUGAUAAAGAACAAUUACCUAGAGUGAUGAUGAGUUCCUUCUUUGCUGGACUUUGCCAAGAAGACUGGGGUCCAUUGGAGUUGGUGACCAAUAAAUGUAUAACAAAAACACAAAUCCUUGGGAAGGAUUUGAUAGAGGAAUAAAAAUGCCAAAUCCAGGCUAAACAUCUGGGUGACUAUACAAUGAAUUUUAAUUUAGAUGGUUGAACUGAACAGAGGAGUCUGAUUUGAUGGCCUAAACUGUUUGGUUCUAUCAUCAGGAGACUUGGUUUAAAUCUCAGACAUGGCAUUAUACAGAUUUUUUUUUAAUCUUCAAGGCACCAAUUCAGUGGUGGGAUUCAGCCAGUUCGCACCACUUCGGGACACACAACCGGUUGUUAAUUUUCUGAGCAGUUUGGUGAACUGGUUGUUGGAAGAAAUCAUUAGGGCAGAGAACCGGUUGUUAAAUUAUUUGAAUCCCACCACUGUACCAAUUUAAAAUAAAACAAUGCAGAAAAUGAAAAAUCACCUAGCAGAGAUUUUAGUUGAUUAUAGGGCCAAUGAAAUUAUUUGACCUAUAUUGGCACUGAUUAUAUUUGUACCCUACUGUAUUGUACUGUACUGUAUUUCCUUUCUUUGUUGUAUUUUUUUGUUUGAUGAUAUGGUUAAGACUAAUCAAUAAAGUGUAUGUGUGUGCAAAUAUAUCUGCACAUACAUACAUACAUACAUAUAUAUGUAUUUGUUUUUGUAAAUUUGCUCGCACAAGCAUGAAGCCAAAAGCACCAGCCUGAAGAUGAUAAAUGAGACCUCAUUGAAACGUC